GGCGUUAAGGCCUAGCUCCGCCCCCUCCCAUCUAAAUUCCAAGGCGACGCCUCUAGGUCCCGCCUCUCUCCGCGGCUCCACCCAUGAGCGCCCCAGACGAAGUUUAAGAAUCCGCUUCCUCUUUGCAAAACCUGCUGGCUCUGGUUCCAAAGGAAUCAGACUAAAUAAAAUACUUCCCAUAUUUGAAGCACAAGUUUGGAGACAACUAUAAACAUUCUAAGGUAUCUAUAAGGAAGUACAACAGUGUUGCAGAUUCCUCAAAAAUAAGUAAAUCAUCUAGAUUUCAUACUGACAAGUUUCUCUCUGUGUUUGUAUAACAAAGUCUUCCAAAACACUGUAUUAAUCAGGAGGUUUAAAUCAGGCACCUGCUGUAUAAAGCACCUCAGCUGACCCUGUGGAACAGCUCUCCAUACACAAAUGCUGCCAGGAGAGAGCUGGUCUCCCAGGAGUGCGGACACACCUGUGAGCACAGGUAAAACCACCAUCUCUGCUCAAAAUUCUGGCCCAAGAGGGACCCACCGAGAGCCCUCAGGACACAGGAACCAAGGAAAAGCUGGGGACACGAUCCUUCCAGUUUCUGCCUACACCCCAGGGCUGAUCCAGUGCCACAGCUCACCAUACCCAAAUUAAUCCUGGAGAGAACUGGUUUCCCAGGACUACUGACACACAGGCUUGCAGGAGGGAUAAGCCACAGUCAGAGACAGCAAUGCCAGCUAACACCAGAGUUAACCAGAUGGUAAAAGGCAAGGGCAAGAACAUAAGCAACAGAAACUAAGGCUACUUGGCUUCAACAGAACCCAGUUCUCCCACCACAGUGAGCCCUGGAUACCCCAACUCACCAGGAAAGCAAGAAUCUGAUCAUCUCCUGAUGAUGAUGAUAGAGGAAGUUAAGAAGGACAUAAAUAAUCCCCUUAAAGAAAUACAGAACAGAAAUAAACAGGUAGAAAACCUUAAAGAGGAAACACAAAAAUCCCUUAAAGUAUUACACGAAAAGACAACCAAACAGGUGAAGGAAUUGAACAAAACCAUUCAGUAUCUAAAAAUAGAAGUAGAAACAAUAAAGAAAUCACAAAGGGUGACAACCCUGGAGACAGGGAACCUAGGAAAGAGAUCCAGAGUAAUAGAUACAAGCAUCACCAACAGAAUACAAGAAGUAAAAGAGAGAAUCUCAGGUGCAGAAGAUACCAUAAAUAACAUUGACACAACAGUCAAAGAAAAUGCAAAAUGCAAAAAGCUCCUAACCCAAAACAUCCAGGAAAUCCAGGACACAAUGAGAAGACCAAACCUAAGGAUAAUAGGUAUAGAAGAGAGUGAAGAAUUUCAACUUAAAGGGCCAGUAAUUAUCUUCAACAAAAUUAUAGAAGAAAACGUCCCUAACCUAAAGAAAGAGAUGCCCAUGAACAUAUAAGAAGCCUACAGAACUCCAAAUAGAUUGGACCAGAAAAGAAAUUCCUCCUGUCAUAUAAUAGUCAAAACAGCAAAUGCACAAAACACAGAAGGAAUAUUAAAAGCAGUAAGGGAAAAAGGUCAAGUAACAUAUAAAGGCAAGCCUAUCAGAAUUACACCAGACUUCUCACCAGAGACUCUGAAAGCUGGAAGAUCCUGGGCAGAUGUCAUACAGACCCUAAGAGAACACAAAUUCCAGCCCAGGCUACUAUACCCAGCAAAACUCUCAUUUACCAUAGAUGGAGAAACGAAGAUUUUUUUCCAUGACACAACCAAAUUUACACAAUAUCUUUCCACAAAUCCAGCCCUACAAAGGAGAUGGAAAACUCCAACACAUGGAGGGAAACUACACCCUAGAACAAGCAAGAACGUAAUCUUCAAACCCAAAAGAAGAUAGCCACACAACCAUAAUUCCACCUCUAACAACAAAAAUAACAGAAAGCAACAAUCACUAUUCCUUAAUAUCUCUUAACACCAAAGGACUCAAUUCCCCCAAUAAAAAGGCAUAGACUAACAGACUGGAGACUCCAGAGAACCAAAUAACCCUAUCAAGAAAUGGGGGCCAGAGCUAACAGGAUUCUCCACUGAGGAAACUCAAACAGCCGAGAAGCACCUAAAGAAAUGUUUAACAUCCUUAGUCAUCAGGGAAAUGCAAAUCAAAACAACCCUGAGAUUCCACCUCACACCAGUCAGAAUGGCUAAGAUCAAAAACUCAGGUGACAACAGCAGAUGCUGGCAAGGAUGUAGAGAAAGAGGAACACUCCUCCAUUGUUGGUGGAAUUGCAAGCUGCUACAACCAAUCUGGAAACCAGUCUGGCAGUUUCUCAGAAAAUUGGGCAUAGUAGAGGACCCAGCUAUACUACUCCUGGCCAUAUAUCCAAAAGGUGCUCCAACAUGUAAUAAGGACACAUACUCCACUAUGUUCAUAGCAGCCUUAUUUAUAAUAGCCAGAAGCUGGAAAAGAACCCAGAUGUCCCACAACAGAGGAAUGGAUACAGAAAAUGUGGUACAUUUACACAAUGGAGUACUACUCAGCUAUUAAAAACAAUGACUUCACAAAAUUCGCAGGCAAAUGGAUGAAUCUAGAAAAUAUCAUCCUGAGUAAGGUAACUCAGUCACAAAAGAACACACAUGGUAUGUAUUUACUGGUAAGUGGAUAUUAGGCAAAGAACAUGGAAUACCCACAAUACAUGGACCACAUGAAACUCAAGAGGAAGGAUGACCAAAGAGUGCAUGCUUCAGUCCUAUUUAGAAGGGAAUAUAAUCAAGGGAAGUAGAGGGUGGGAGGGACUUGGGAGGAAGAGAGGAGGGGGAGGGUGAAAAAGGGUGGCAGAAUCAGGUAUGGGAGGAGAUAGAGGAGAAGUACAGAGGAUCAGGAAAUUGAGCAGAUGUGUGUAGCAAUGGGGGAUGGGGAACUGGGGGUAGCCACCAGAAAGUCCCCGAUGCCAGGAAAGCAAAAGCCUCCCAGGACUCCACGGGGAUGACAUUAGCUGAAAUACCCCACAAAGGGGAGGGAGAACCUGUAGAGACCAUAUGCAGAGGUUAGGCAUGGCCCCCUGGUUGAGGGAUGGGGCCACUUACCCAUCUCCAAAAUUUUAACCCAGAAUUACUCCUGUCUAAAGGAAAUAUAGGAAAAAGAGCAAAACAGAGACUGAAGAAAAGGCCAUCCAGAGAUUACCCCACCUAGGGAUCCAUCCCACAUGCAGACACCAAAACCGGACACUGUUGCUGAUGCCAAGAAGUGCUUGCUGACAGGAGCCUGAUACAGCUGUCUCCUGAGAGGCUCUGCCAGAUCUUGAGCAAUACAGAUGUGGAUGCUAGCAGCCAACCAUCGGACUGAGCACAGGGACCAAAAUGGAGUUAGGGGAAGGACUGAAGGAGCUGAAGGGGUCUUAUCUGCCAUCAAUGUGAGGGGAGGCCCUUGAUCAUGUGAAGGCUUGAUGGCGCAGUGUAGAGGAAUGCUAGGGUGAUGCGGCAGGAGUGGGUGGGGGAACACCCUCAUAGAAGCAGAGUAAGGGGGGAUGGGAUGGGGGUUUGCAGAGGGGAAACCCAGAAAGGGGAGAUAACAUUUGAAAUGUAAACAAAUACAAUAUCCAAUUCAAAAUGAUAAUCUAAUAAAUUUAGGUGAUUAUGGUGCUUAGGGGGAGAGUUAUAUACUAAGUAGUAGAAUCAUUCUUAAUUUUUGAACUGGACAAUUAACAAAAGAAUGAGAUAAAAUUCUGUGACUAUUGCAUUUGGAUAUACACUUAUGUGUGUUUUCAGUAAUAAAAAGUAAUAGUAUAGAAUGUGCAUGGUUUAGCUUCAUACCACCACAAGGGAGGCAUAUGCUGAACACAGAGGCUUUUACAAUUCUAAUUACUCUAAGUCUAUGUGACUAUCAUGUUGGCCAAAGAGCUGGUGUAAUCAUAGCUUGUAC
rnacentral:lncRNA from 1 species